rnacentral:rRNA from 1 species
CCCUUAGAUGUUCUGGGCCGCACGCGCGCUACACUGGUCGAUGCAACGAGUUUCUUUCCUUGGCCGACAGGCCUGGGCAAUCUUUGAACAUCGAUCGUGAUCGGGAUAGAUUCUUGUAAUUUUUGAUCUUAAACGAGGAAUUCCUAGUAAACGCAAGUCAUCAGCUUGCAUUGAUUACGUCCCUGCCCUUUGUACACACCGCCCGUCGCUCCUACCGAUUGAAUGGUCCGGUGAAGCGUUCGGACCGUGGCCUUUGGACGGUUCGCCGUCUGUUCGCUGCGGGAAGUUCGUUAAACCUUAUCAUUUAGAGGAAGGAGAANUCGUAACA